rnacentral:lncRNA from 1 species
GUGUUUCCAAGCGCGUGAAUGAGAGCGCGUUCUUUGGUAUUUUUCUCCGGGAAAGACAAUAACAAUUCUCCGUCUUAAAUUGUAUCGUUUAUUUACGUAUUAGGGUACCUAAGGUUUGAUUAUAAACGUUGUUUUACUUGUUUGGAAAAGUUUAUUAGUAAUGUUUGGGAUUCAUUUUGUAUGCAUUUUGAUGGAGGGAAACUGGGUGGAUUAUUGACUGAAGCACACCAACUAAACUGAGUUUUUAUGAAUAUAAAGUAGGACAUUAUCGAACAAAAGGACAAUUUGUGAUGUAACUGGGACCUUUUGGAGUGCCAACAGAAGAAGAUCAAAGAGCUGGCAUGAAGGGGACCACCAGAGCAGAGCACAGGACACAUCUCAAGCACAGGACAGAGAAAAGGACUUUGUUAUGAAGGGCACUUUUGAUGUCGCAAGCGGGAGUUUCUGAAUGGAAAGAAGUCAAACAUUGAAGCCCUCCGCUUGCCCCUCCAUCUUCAACUUUGAGGGUUACAGUGUGGGGGUUAUUGACCGACCAUCAUCGACAACAUCGACAACUUCAGUGUCAAGGAAUGAACGGAAGAGGCGG